rnacentral:lncRNA from 1 species
UUUAAUACUCGGGUGAAAGCGGUUGAAAUGGCUAAUUAGGUCGGUUAGCGCGUUCGUGCCGUGUUCCCAUAUUAUAAAAAUGUCGCCAAUGGAACGAA